CGAGUACGGUGCUCUUGCCCCAGACACCGGUGUGUGCUGGGAGCACUGGUGCUGGGCUGGUUCAGCGGAUGGGCUCCCGGCAGCAGCCAGCUGCACUGGGGCUGCCCCCUCAUCCCAUGUUAAUCCCAUUUGCAUUGUGCAGGAGCAGGUGGCCACAACCUCAUUUGCAAUUCCUGCGCCUGCCACAUGUCCUUUCAGAAACAGCGCGUUUUAAUGGGGUGUUAAAAUAGAUGGGGCCCAGCCGGUGGGACCGCGGCCGUGAAAAGAAUAAGGCUUGAAAGAGCUUUGUGCACCUUCAAAAUCUGCUUGAGUGGAUAAGGCUUUCCUGUCCCUCCUUGGUCAAGGCGAGCGAUGCUUGGUAGCAGCCUGCACUCAGCGGGUCAAUAAUGCAAUUGGCAACCUCCUACACUGCCAUACAUCAAAUGACAUGAUUACAUCUCCGCCAGUCACAGGGCAUAAUGGAAAUUAUGUCACAGUGAUAGAAGUGUUUGGAGGAUUCAUUUCUCCUGCCUUUGGAAAUAAAUACCUUGCAUUUGUGGGGAGUCAGGGAUAGUGUUACCCCAUGCCAAUGUUGUUUUUUUUUUUUUGGUUAAUGUUAUUGCUUGAUUAAGGGAUAUUUGUAUUUUUAUUUAGCCUUUAGAAGGGGAACCCUGGUGACAUUUUGGCUGGAUGGGGAGGAAGCACUGGGAUGGGUGGGCACCCUGCCCUGUCCCGUUGCAGGUCCCUGCCUGUAGCUGCCACAAGAUUUUCCAGGGAAAUCUUCUCCCAGUCUUUCCUCUGGGGAGAAAUAGAAAUAUGUCCUUGCCUUUGAAAAACCCUAGAGAAGAGAUGGGAAAUAAAUCCAGGACAGGGAAAUAAAUCCAGAGCGGUGUGGAGAGCGAGGCUGGGGCUUGCUCCGGAGCUGAAUUCAGCCCAGGAGAUGAUGGAAAUCAAAGGAAUUAUUCCCCAGGAGUGGCCUGUUGGUCUUUAAUCUCUUAAAGCCCUGCUCCUGCCAUGGACUGAGCAGUCUUGCUUUAUGCCAAGCCCCUGUGAAGGCUCAGCCUGCUGGCCUGGGAGGAUGGAGGGCUGGAUGGCAGCCUAAGCCCAUGUGUCCACCUCUGGAAAUUAAAAACAUCUUGGUACAUGAAAAGUGGGGGGUACACGGGGAGAGGGGAGGCUGUGAAGUGCUUGAAAAGCAAUAAAACAUUAAUGUCAAAGUGCUGGCAUGGAAGCAAAGAUAUUAUUCCUUCAACAGGGGUCUGACUGCAGUUGUUUUGUGUGUUUUAGUCAAGAACAAUGGGGUUUUUACAAGAACACUUCAAAAGGGAAGCAGGGGCACUGCCGAAUGCCCAGACAACACAGACAGCGGCUUUUCAGAUGCAGCCGCCUAAUUUUACAGCUCUUUUGUUCUCCGCUCCUAAAAAGAUCUGCUGUUGCUUUAAUUUUUGAAUCAAAAGCAUAGAAGGAAAUCAGGAAAAAAAAAAAAAAAAAGAAAGAAAAGAAAAAUAAACCAAGAAAAGCCAAAACAACGGUCCUUGCAACAGGCAUUUUUGAUGGGAACAAACCCCCUGAGGGUUCCGCUGUGAGUUGUGGGUUGGUGGGACCGCAGUCAAUUCUCCGUCCCUGAGGAUGCUGCACCUGAGCUGGCUUAUUUAUUGAGAGCAGGAGUUUUCUGUGAGGUUGGGAUGGUGCACAUUUGGUGUUUGCAGGGCUCAGCGUUGCCUUUCUCAUCGUGCUGGACCCUGCAUUAGCUUGUGGUUUUUGGUUUUUCAUGUGCAGAGGGACACUGAGUUGCCUUAACUUUGAGCUGUGAUGGAGCUUCAAAUGGAGCAUCAGGUCUGGCCACUGCCACUGGAGGGGAACAACACUGGAGAAAGCCCUCGCACUCUGUGCAUGGUGUCUCUGGAUGUGGCCACCAAGAACCAAAGGAGGAACCACACUGGGUACCUGCAUGUAAAUGUCUAUGUUUGGCUCAUCCCACCAGUGAAAGAGGAACCCUGGAUGGAUUCACUGACCCAUUUUGCACCCUCGUCUCAGGACAAGGGUCUGCUGCUGAAUUUCCACUUGUGUUUCCACCAUUGAUGUCAGUACGUUCAGUUCCGCCUUGAGGAUUGCCCAGAAGCACCUGAAACAGAUUUGGAGAGAUUUGGGUGGAUAAAGCAGGGUGAUCUGCUCAAGCACUUGAGGACCUUUUGGCUGCUCUUGCCUUGGCAUAAGGAGCUCUGGCGAGUGGUUCAAGGCAAGAGGACCAGACUCAGGUUAAAACCUCACCCAGAAGAUGCAGAUGUUGAGCCUGAGGAAGUGAAAACCCCUUGGGCUCUCCAUAGUCUGUGGAGAAGAAGGAAGCCCAGAGGGUCCAGAUCAGGAUAGACAACAGCCCAUAAGGAUGUCCCCUGCCUCCUGAAGGACAGCUGUCUUCUUUGCCCUGGAUUAGGUAGAGCACCUUGGAAACUGAGGAGCCCUGAGGCCUUUGCAGUGGUAGAUGACACAAAUCAAGGCAUGAUCCAUAUCCAUGAAACCCCAAGGAUGCACCUGUGAUAAGGCUGAUUUCCUCCUCCCGUAAGCACAGCGGAUGCAGAGAACAAUAGGUACCAGGCCUGCUCUGCCCACCACCGUCAUCCUGCUUCCUCAGCGCUGGUGCCCAGACCCCCACUGGGAAUGAAGCAAACUCAGAGAACCCACCCAGGGGAAAAAAAGCUGCUCCAAAGAAGAGAUUUGGAAAAUAACUUUGCAAAAAAAUGGUGGAAAGCAGCAACUGAAUGAAGAGCAAUGUCUACAGCUGUUCCAGGACAGGGCCAUCAGCCAUGGAUAUUUGAGAUGGAGCACCGAGUGGUGCUCCAUCAGAGUGGUGGGACAUCCUGGACAAGGAUAGCGGGAAGAGGUUUCCCUGCAGGGAUCUCCUGGGUUUGGUCUCCACUUGUGCUGGUUGGCAUCUGAGAGAUUGCUGAGGAGCUAAUGCACCUCUUAGCUCCCAUGUGGCUAAAAUCCAGCUGGACUGACUCCUGGGUAGAUAAAAAGCAGAGGAUAAGAGGAAUCAGAGAAAAUAGAUGCCUAUUUAACAUAACGCCUGUUCCAAGGGACAGGAAAAGAAAUAAAAUCUUUAAAUGGUCACAUGGGAAUUCAGAUUAAACAUCAGGAGCAUUUUUCUUAUGGAGAAGCGUAGUGAAGCGCUCGAGCACUUUGUUGGGAGCAGUGAGGAACUGCUGUGACCCCAGUGUCCCCAACCCACGCAGCUGCAUCAGGACAUCACUCCAAGUCCCUUUUGUCCCCAUUUUCCCCGUGGGAAAGGAAGACUCCAGAAGUCACAGCCUGUAGAAAAUGAAGAGGACUAAAGGCAAGAUCUGAACUGGUUAAAUUUUGCUUUAAUUGGGAUGUUUGGGUCAUUGAAUUAGCCUAUAGAUGAACUGUCCAGAAACCACAGUCCAAUUUCUGCUUCUCCCAGAAUUACCUAAAAUUUAACCAGGAUCUCCUUGGCUGGACUGAAGACCACGUUUGUGAAGUUGGAUGAUGGUGUGUGCCUGAAGAUUGGGGCUAAAAACCUCUGCAUAAUAAGUUGUAUUUUUUCUUCUAAAACUGCCAUCUGUCCCUUGGAUCUGCUGCCUGCCCGGAGCACCAAGCUGAGGCACAUCAUGGAACCCACGGCCAUUUUCACCCCAGAUUUGAAGAGCAGAAGAACCUUCUACUAUUCAUCUUUUGUAUAAUAACCUGGAGCUAGAAAAUGCAGUGGAGAUGUCUAGUCUUAAAUAGACCAGAUGCUUCGGAUCCUGCAGGAAUCUUAUUUUUUGCCUUCCAAAGGGCAACGACCAUUAUUUUUGCUUUUCAAAGUACAGUGGCCAUUAGGUAGUGGUGGCAAUGGCAGGACGGGAUGGUGAGAGUGUCUGUGGAGUAGGGGAUUGUGUCACAGGCUAUACAUUGUGAGAUUAUAGUAAUAAAAGCAGAAGAGAUGCAUUUCUCAGCCCCCAUGUCUCAGCAAAGGUACGUAAGACCACUGGUGAAAAUUACAGGUUUAUAGACCUCAGGGAAGGACCCAACUUCAGCAACACCCAAAUUACCGAGAUACCCAAAUUACUUUUGAAAAAGUUCGACCCUUCCUCAGCUGUUUAAGCACUUCUAGAAGGUUUUCCCACUGUUUCCUUACCUGAUAUGUCUCAUUUUGGAAGAUGCCAGAAGAUUACACUGAGCUGAGGAAACCUGGGCUACAUUUCUGCCGUGUCCUCUGAUGCUCAGACCAACAGGAGGAUGAUUUCCUUGGAUCUGGCUCUCAAUUCCCAGCUCUGAAAGAAGCGUAAUCCACCCUAUUUUCUUCAAAAAUUGUUUUGAGAUCUCAUGAUAAGAGCUAAACAGCAUUAUUAUUUUUCACAACCUCAUCAUUAUUUUUCACAACCUAACUGCGCUUCUAACUUUUAAACUAGAAAGCAGGUUUUUAAUUAUUAUUUUUCAGUAAGCCAUUUAGUUAAACCAUAUUUUAAUAGUAUUUCAACAGACUUUAGUCCAGGAAACAAAGUAAUCACAAGUUAUACACCUAAGCACUGAUUUGCACUAUAUUUCCCCACAAAAACAUAUAUUCGUUGUUGCUAUGAAACCAGAAGUUUUGCUUAGAUCAGAUCAUUUUGUUCUCAUGUCAUGGAUAAAGGAACUGAAUGAACAACGCAGUGCUAAUGGUUUUUGCUUUAAAUCUACUUGAAGAAACCUUUCACCUCCCACACCUGCCAAAUAAAUAAGGUGUUUUUAAAAUGGUUUUGGUAAGUUUAGUGCUCCUGCAAGUGCUUUCUGCAGCACAGGUGAGAGAUGCAGCAAGAGGGGUGUUGGGGCUGUGAAUUGGCUUGGAAAUUUGAGUUUUGCAAUGAUUUAUGUCUCAGUUAAAUUGAAGGGUCUUUUUUUGCUUAUGAAGUAGUUUCCUGAGUCAAUAGUGGGGGGCUUUGAGGGUUGUGAGUCCUGAGCCCCAGUGGGAGCCCAGUGUGGCACCUGGAUGUUGAUGGAGAGAUGUUGAUGAUGAAAUGUUGAUCAUGAGAAUAGAAUUUUUGGUUGAACAGCUUUUUCUGGUUGUCUUUUGGAAGAAAGUUGUUGUUAUGAUUCACUUGGGUCCUGGACAUGACUCUUUAAGGGUGAAAAAAUUAACAACAAAAAACAAAGAGGUGAAAUGUUGGGAUAAAAUUGCCUCUGGGUGAUGACGUGUUUCGUCUUGGGCAAUAUGGGAAGAUUCUCUGUUUCUUUAGGUUGCUUAUGUAUAUGUACAGCGUGCAUACAUCUAUCUCAUCUCUAUCUAUCUCUAUCAUCUCUAUCUCUAUCUCUGUCUCUGUCUAUCUCUCUAUCUCUAUCUCUAUCUAUCUCUAUCUCUAUCUCUAUAUCUCAUCUAUCUCUAUCUCUGUCUCUAUAUCUCUAUCUAUCUAUCUAUCUAUCAUCUCUAUCUGUAUAUGUGUAUAUGUAAUAUGUAUUGAUACAUGCUGCAUAUGUAAACGUAUAUGCACAUGUAUGGCUUUACCUUUAAGAAAAACUCUUACAUUUAUGAAUAUAUGUGUGUAUAUUUUUCUCUGUACAUAUAUAUAUAUAUACACACUUUUAUAGGUAUGUGUGUUUGUGUAUAAAAGCAUAUUCCUGAAAAAAGACUCAGAGAGAAAAUUUCUCUUGCUCCUACCCUCAUUUGUAUCUAAUUGUGGAUGAUGGAUUGCAGUUAUAUGGUUUUCUCUAAUCUCUUUUACUUAAUACAAAUAUAUCUCUGUAAGAAUUCCUUGGAAGAACUGUGGGCAGAAAGCUAAUUUAUCCUCAGUACUGAUUCAUAUUCCUUCCUCACUGCAGACAUAACAGUAAUGGGCUUGUAAAAGUCGAUGUUUGCAGAAAACCCCCCACCUGUUUCGGGGAGCAGCUUUGGGGUGUCUCGUGAACCCCUGUCUUUCCCCCGUCAUGGGGAGGAGGGUGGUUGUAAGAAUAGACCCUGUGUGACAGCCCCGCAAUGGGAAACGAGCUGCAGCAGCCAAAACUGGAAUAAAAGUCUCGUUUUAGCUGCUGAACAGAAGAUAGGAGUUAAAAUAUGCAAGCCCGUGAUAGAGCCAGAAAAAUGUGUGCUUUGUUUAAACGGACUAGUGAGAACUGUUCUCCAUCCCUCAUCCUCAGCCACCACAGCAAACGCCACGGAGCUUAUUUUGGGGUUCACCUUGUGCAAGCUUCGACCUUGCCAUCCCAAUUCUUGUGUUGGAGGCACUCAGUGUGACUAGCUGCAAAAAUCUCCCCAGGUAUCCAGCCCGGUGUGUGUAUAUAUAUAUAUAUAUAUAUAUAUAUAUAUGUAUACUCAUAUGUUUACAAGUCUCUAGCUGCUCUAUUUGCAAAAUGAACUUUCAGUCUGUGAAAGAAAAAUUGACAGUGGGUAAACUUCAAGUUGUUUGGAGUGACGUUGUCUGUAAAAUCAAAAUGUUUCUAGAGCUCCUUAUGCUAGUAUAGAUACAUCACGAACUCCCUGCUUCACCAAUGCAGCGCUCCUGGCAAAUUUACUCUGUUGGCUUAGGCUGAGUUUGCAGGAACCCUGAGAAAACAGCCCCAAAUAUUAACUCGGUUCCUACCACUCUUGCUUUAAAGAGGAACAUCAUUAGCUCUGACUUAGCUCAUUAAAGCAGGGAUGAAAGGAGAGGGCAGCACAGAGUGAGGAGAAUUAACUCAGCAGGGCGCAGGGCGAGGGACGGAGAUGAAGGGAGAUGUAAUAUCCAACAUGUGGGGCUGAUUGGUGUGGGACAUUUACAAGUAGACCUUAACAUUUUGAGAAAAUGCUUUUUCUACUCAGGCAUUGGGCUUUUCCAGGGUGGGAGACACCUGUGAGUAAUUCAGGAUAAGCCCUGUACCAAACAUAAGCCACAAACCCAAAUGGAUUUAUUUCAGGCUUUUCACAAACUCUGGUAUUAAACUUCCAGUAGCUACACUGGUUAAACUGGUGGCCUUGCAUGGAUACAGAGAAAACAGCCCAGGGUCACCUUUUUCUUUGCAUUCUCAAAGACAAACCCUUGUAAGAAGGUGUCCUUAGCUUUUGGGGCAGGAAAGGAGCAAGACCCAGGUCUCUCCCCUUGAAAUCAGUGCUAGUUCCUGUCUGGUUUGGUUUGGAGCAGGAGGGAGAUCAGAUGAUACACAAAAUGUAGCUGCUGUGAUCAAAGUGAACUUUUAGGUUUGUCAUACUGAGGUGUGAUACACAGCAAGGCUGUUUAUACCUCCACUAGGUUAAAUUAGCAUCAUUAUCCCUUUGCAAAUGAGUAGAUAUUACCAUGCUGCCUCUUAAAAGAAGCAAUUACCAUAUCUAUUGGGCAGUACAUUAAAUGACACCAUUUAAUUAAAGCCUAAUUUAUCUCUGAAUGAAAAAUAUUUAAAAUCGCCGUACAGUAUAUUAUUCCAUUCAAUUACCACAAAUCUCUGUCUGUUUGCUGCUGCAGAUGAGCUCAGUUGGCAAGCUGGCCGCACGCCCCGGCGAGCGCUUGGCUUUUCCUCUUCUCUGCCUGGUGAAUCAGCUCCAAACGCUGACCCAGCAACCUGACUUCUGCCUCCCAUGGCCUUUCUGAGCUUUAGUGGAGGUGAGAUGUUUUCCAGCCACCUCCAAAUAACCAGGGCUGAGCUCAGCAUCGCUGCUGCUGAGCCCUCCUGCGAAAUUGUGUUUCUGCAGGUAAUGGAGCCUUUUGAAAGUUUAUGCCGAACGGGAUGUCUCAUCCUUGGAGAAGCUCCCAACAUAUUUCCAUAGUAGUUAAUGCAGGAUGUCAGCUUUUGGGCUAUCAUGGAAAUCCCAAAUCAAGCCAACCUAGGAUUUAGGAAGAGGUUGGAACAUUUUGUUGGGCAUUGGAACAGGCUGCCCAUGGCAGUGCUGGAGUCACCAUCCCUGGAGGGUUGGACAGACGCGGAGAUGAGGUUCUCAGGGACAUGGGGCAGUGCCAGGGUUGGGUCAAUGGUUGGACUCGAUGACUUUGAGGGUCUUUUCCAACCAAAAUGAUUUUAUGAUUCUAUCUUUAAGGGGCAUGGAAUAAUAUCCCAGCCCUACUGAGGUCAAAGAGGAGUUGUUGACCACCCACCUCCCUGGUGUUAAGGUUUCUCCUGGAGCCUCUGGCAAGGGUCUCCAGGGUUAACCUGGAGGGAAGCCAAGCUGAAUUCCAACAGUAGCCCAUAAUUUUAGUUCUCCUAGUUAAGUCAUGCUCAGUAGUUUACGUUCCACAAAAUUUCUUCUGUUUUCAGCCACAGAAACUCAACAAAUGAAAUAAUCACAGGAAGUUUUUGCCAAUUUGACAUAAAUUUGGAAAGAAGAGCUGCUGCUGGCAGCCAAGGACAGACAAUUUGCUGCCCGUGCUGCUAAUCAGUCACAAGAAAGAUGCUUGUUUUAUGUGUGUGUGACUAAUGGACCAGUAAAAAAGGGCUUUAAAAUUAAUAAAUAAAAGAGCUAAUGCCUCUGGCUGUACGCUUCAGGUUGGUGUUAUGUCACAUCCCAUUUAGCCAUGCAUGGAUGCAUUCCUGUGUCAUCAUCUGCUCUAGUGACCCUACAUUAGCAGGUGGGUUGGACUGGGUGAUCUCCAGAAGUCCCUUCAACCCUAACCGGUCUGUAGUUUUCUGAUACUAUACCAUGUUUGAAGUCAGGGGCAGGAGGGUGCAUGAGACAGUGGGAUGAUGUGUUGGCUGCGAUGCAACAUAAUCAUCGAGGACAUUAAGAAAACCCUUCUUAAAUUGAAGAAAAAAGAUAGAGAAGAUUAAAUUAUUAAAUUGAGUUUAUAAUGUUAUUUUUGGCAAGGUUUGCUGUCUGGAAGGGCAGACACGGCUGUGACUGUGGGUCACUACCAGAUGAUGUUGCCUGUUUGAAAGCAGAUAUUCUCCAUUUCCAUUUGGGUUCACGGCAGACCCUUGACCCUUUCCAGAAGAGGAAAGUGCCUGCAAAGCACUUUUCCAUCAACUUUAAGAGGUAUCAGUGGUGCUAUGUGUCCUGACGACGCGGUGUUGGCCACCACUGUCCUGUUUGCACAGAGCUGUGGGAAGCGGGAGGGAGGAUUUCAUGACUUUGGGAACACAAAGGGCAAACACUGCUGAAAGAAUAACACUUCUGUGCAGCAAACCAGAAGAUGUACAGCUGCUCACUGGAAGCCUUUUAAAUAUAUGAUGGCCACGAAGCGUAGAGUCACAGCAUUGCAAAGUGCAGCGUGAGAGGGAGGUUAUUUUUAUUAUGAUUUUCUGUGAUAUUGGCAUUUCUGAACAGCCUGAAAUCGGGAAAAAUGCUUAGGGAUGGCUGGGAAACAAAGGCAGGUGGCAUUCCUGCUGGUUUUGCCCCAGACUGCAAACCAUCUUGAGUUAAAGAUGUUCCUUUCAAACACAGCUGCCAUCACAUCCCAGAGCUAAGAAACAUUCAGGCUUUGGGUUGCAAGGGAAGGAAAAAAACCCCCUUUCCAGGGACUCCUCGGGCUCUGUGGACGUGCAAGCCCAGGCUCUACAGCACAGAUAUGAGCAUAUACUGAAGUCCUGGUGAUUUCAGUGCCCAAGUGCUUUGCUGAACAGGUUUGCCUUAAAUAUAUUUGUUUAAGGUGAUUUUUCCAGCCUGGGACCUGGCACUAACUGACACAUCAGCACCCAGCAAAGGGCUUUUCUCACCAGAAAGUCACAGUGCUGUGCCAAAGGGGAAGGAGGUGCUGAUCUUCUAGGAAAGGGUGAAGAUAAAGAAAAAGAAAACAGAAAGAGAAAGAAGAAGAAACAGAAAAGAAAAAGAAAACAGAAAAAGAAAAAGAAAAAGAAAACAGAAAAAGAAAAAGAAAAAGAAAACAGAAAAAGAAAGGAAACAGAAAAGAAAAAGAAAACAGAAAAAGAAAAAGAAAAAGGAAAAGGAAAAGAAAAAGGAAAAGGAAAAGAAAAAGAAAAAAAACAGAAAAGAAAAAGAAAAAAGAAAAAAGAAAAAUAAAAAAAGCAGAAAAGAGAAAAGAAAAAAGAAAAAAGAAAAAGAAAAAGAAAAAAGAAAAAGAAAAUAGAAAAAGAAAAAGAAAACAGAAAGAGAAAGAAAAACAGAAAAGAAAAAGAAAACAGAAAAAGAAAAAGAAAAAGAAAA